UAGAUUUUACUAUUGACUUUGCCCCUCCCCCAGUUUAUAUUUCUGCGGACGCCCUUGGACGGCGGUAAGUCGUUCGACCAACCAGGAGAAUCGCACGACUAAACACAUCGUAAAGUUGGUAAAACUGAGUCACCGUCGGCCCGGAACUACGGCCUGUACGACACUGGUCACACCGGUUUAAUAUUUUUAAUUUUUAUUGUUAUUUCGGGCAAGGGAACGCUCGUUAAAUUGUUUUCGUCAGUUAGCCGUUGCGUGUACAGGUAAUAAAUUAUGAUGUAUCUUUUGGUGUUUUUGAAGUAGGUACACGGUUUCUUUAUCUUGUUCCACUCUAAGCAUGCUGACCAAUAUUAUGUAAGAACAUAAAUGGAAUAAAGUGUAGAUGCAAUGAACGUUCGCCAAGAAGGCA